ACAUUAUUAGUAUAAUGAUUAUACCACUUUUCCAAAGUGGUGAUCUACAUUUGUAGAUAAUGUA
rnacentral:tRNA from 3 species